UUUUUGUUGGCCGAAUGUUGAAGAAGAGAAAGCCAUAACAAGCUUGCUAAGGUUCGGCCACUUCUAAGCUCAAUUAUCAAGAAAAGCAAAAUUCGGACCUAAAUCGGGGGAAAACUAAAGUUAUCAACUAAACGACUCGAAUCGCCGUUUUAGCAUCUCAGAUUUUGAAAGCUAGCGCGAGUUUGAGAAUCAUUCAGGACCAUUGUCACACUAUCGAUCGCUAUUUCGGUACUUUAUAAGUUUGUACUUUUGACUAAUGGCAUGUAUAGGCUAGUUUCAAUAUGGCACAUUUU